AUGAAACAUCAAUCUCACAUUUUCACCAGAAAGGCUGUCCAGCACGUGCACGAGCUCACGUGACGUGUCAUAAGCAAAUCCCGCACGAGUUUCACGCUCGCUAGAGCUGUCUCUGUUCUCAAGCUGAGGAAGGAUGACGCCGAGACUUCAUCGAAUGACGGCGUGUGUGACGGCGAUGGCAGUCGCAGUUGUCGUGAUGGACGCUGUCGAGGCCUUUUCCCACACGACGUCCAUCGGGUUCUCUGCCUCUACCCCUGGGAUACAGUCAUAUGAUGAGGGGGGUAACGCGCUGUUUAUCAACGAGGCGUUUCCCCUGGUGUCUGGGCGGCUCCUCCAGAUCUGCUUCUACAUCCACAAAAAUUUCGACAACAACUACACGGGCACGUUCUUCGUCUUGAAGAAGACUGAAAGAGGAUAUAGACUCGUCUUCCAGCAGAAUGUUGUCUUCCCUAACACGCAGGGCAGACAUUGCGUCAACAUGACCGAGCCUCCGCUGGUCAUCAAUGGCCAGUUCGUGGGAUGGAUGUACGAUCAGGACGCUGGCCCCAUCUCCUACACCAUCCCAGACCAGGAGAGCGGAACGAUGGUGGCCAACAAUGUCCACGCCCCGCUGGUUGUCGGGCAGACCUAUGGAAGUCGGAGCUUCACCAAGACCUACUUCUUUAUGUUGGAGGCCAUCGUAGACAUCGGCGAUGCUGUGGCUACUGGACCUGCAGGUGAUGCUGUGGCUACUGGACCUGCAGGUGAUGUUGUAGUAACUGGACCUGCAGGUGAUGCUGUAGUAACUGGACCUGCAGGUGAUGCUGUAGUAACUGGACCUGCAGGUGAUGCUGUAACUACUAGACCUGCAGGUGAUGUUGUAGUAACUGGACCCGCAGGUGAUGCUGUGGUUACUGGACCUGCAGGUGAUGCUGUGGCAAGUGGACCUGCAAGUGAUGCUGUGGCAGCUGGACCUGCAGGUGAUGCUGUAGUAACUGGACCUGCAGGUGAUGCUGUGGCUACUGGACCUGCAGGUGAUGCUGUGGCUACUGGACCUGCAGGUGAUGCUGUGGCUACUGGACCUGCAGGUGAUGCUGUGGCUGGACCUGGAGGUGAUGCUGUAGAAACUGGACCUGCAGGUGAUGCUGUAGUAACUGGACCUGCAGGUGAUGCUGUGGCUACUGGACCUGCAGGUGAUGCUGUAGUAACUGGACCUGCAGGUGAUGCUGUGGUAACUGGACCUGCAGGUGAUGCUGUGGCUACUGGACCUGCAGGUGAUGCUGUGACUGGACCUGCAGGUGAUGCUGUGGUAACUGGACCUGCAGGUGAUGCUGUGGCUACUGGACCUGCAGGUGAUGCUGUGGCUACUGGACCUGCAGGUGAUGCUGUGGUAACUGGACCUGCAGGUGAUGCUGUAGUACUGGACCUGCAGGUGAUGCUGUGGCUACUGGACCUGCAGGUGAUGCUGUAGCUACUGGACCUGCAGGUGAUGCUGUGGCUACUGGACCUGCAGGUGAUGCUGUGAUGCUACUGGACCUAGAGGUGAUGCUGUAACUACUGGACCUGUAGGUGAUGCUGUGGCAACUGGACCUGCAGGUGAUGCUGUAGAAACUGGACCUGCAGGCGAUGCUGUAGAAACUGGACCUGCAGGCGAUGCUGUGGCAAGUGGACCUGCAGGCGAUGCUGUAGAAACUGGACCUGCAGGCGAUGCUG